GAAUAAUAAAAGAAAAAUCUGCCCUUCCAAGCAAGGUAGUAGAUGCUCAGAUGGCUGCACCACACAGGAGGACUGACGUGCGUUUGGGCUGUGUUCAGAAUCAGCAGAGAAAUUCUCGUGAAAACAAUGGACAGCAAUCAAAAUCAAAACAGAAGCCAACCCUAACCCAGGCACGCUUUCAUUCUAAAAGAUUUUCUUUGGAGCUGGAAUCCGACUCCAUUUGCUUGUCUGAAAUUAAUGGCUUUACUCAUUUCAGAGGAAACUGUCUAGUCGUGAUCAGAGGGGGAUUGAUUGUUUGACUGAGUGUCACUGGAAAUGUCAUAAACAUGAAAACGACUUGCUUUAAAUUUCAAGCAACAGGUCUUGCCAGUGGGAAUCCAACCCAGUCAUGCAGUAGGUGGCUGCUGGAUAUCACUCCAACGUGUUGUGUUUCGUACUUGUAGUUUCCAGCAAAUGGGAAAGGUUGUGAGAAACAAGUUUCUCUGCUGUAGUGGCUGGUGGAUACUCUUAUAGAGUGUGUUGCCUUGUGCUGAUAGAUUUCUUUAAUUAAGUCUGUUCCAGAAUGUAGUAGGAUUUAUAACAUUUUCAAAUAUUCAUAACCACUGUAGGAUCUGACUUAGCAGAGAAAUUAAUGUUUCAUGGUUUUGACCUCAGAGGAUGUACAGACUUCACAGGUUGGCUAUUGCAGAGCUUAAGUUUGAUUCCGGAUCCAAAAUAAAAUUUUGGCUAGUCUGCAGCCA